rnacentral:rRNA from 1 species
UGUAAGUACACGCCUUUUUAAAGUGAAACUGCGAAUGGCUCAUUAAAUCAUAUGUGAUUUCUUAGAUCGUACGGUUCCUUCGGGGACUGUUGGAUAACUGUGGUAAUUCUAGAGCUAAUACAUGCAAUCAAGCUCAGACCUUCGGGGACGGGCGCUCAUAUUAGACCAAGGCCAACCUGUGGGGCAACCUGCAGACGUCUGUGGUGACUCUGGAUAUCCAUCAGUUGAUCGCACGACCUUUGCGUCGGCGACGUAUCUUUCAAGCGUAUGCCCUAUCAUCUGUCGACGUUAGGUUAACAGCCUAUCGUGGAAGUAACGGGUAGCGGCGAAUCAGGGUUCGAUUCCGGAGAGGGCGCAUGAGAAAUGGCGACCACAUCCAAGGAAGGCAGCAGGCGCGCAAAUUACCCAAUGCCGACUCGGCGAGGUAGUGACGAAAAAUAACAAUACGGGACUCUUUUGAGGCCCCGUAAUUGGAAUGAGCACAAUCUAAAUCCUUUAGCGAGGAUCUAUUGGAGGGCAAGUCUGGUGCCAGCAGCCGCGGUAAUUCCAGCUCCAAUAGCGUAUAUUAAAGUUGCUGCAGUUAAAAAGCUCGUAGUUGGAUCUCGGGUAUUGUCUCGGUGGUCCUGUUCACGCAGGCACUGCCUUGAUGACCUAACCAAUGGUUGAACGACUCCGAGUGCCCUUCACUGGGUGCUCGUGGGUGGCCAUUGCGUUUACUGUGAAAAAAUUAGAGUGUUCAAAGCAGGUUUCUAUAGCUCGAAAUAGUCGUGCAUGGGAAUAAUGGAAAAAUGACACUGGUGCAUUUUCCCUUGGGUCUCUGUGACUGGUGUAAUGAUUAAGAGGGACUGCCGGGGGCAUUGGUAUGGCGGGGUUAGAGGUGAAAAUUCUUGGAUCCUCGCCAGACCAACAAAAAGCGAAAAGCA